GGGAGGCUCAGGGUGCAAGGAGUCGCUUCUAAUGAGCUUCAGGGUUAAAGAGAGAGAGAGAGACACGUGCUAGGAUUAGGGCCAGGGCCUGGACCUCGCACUGAUGCCUGUUCUGAGCUGCGGCUGUGGUCUGCCCAGAGGAGGAGGCCCGGAGGAGGCCGGGGCUUCCUGGGGCAUCCUGCCAGGGGAGGUCACAGAGCCAAGCUCAGCUGUGAAGCUGCGGCCCAGGACAGGAUAACAGGGAACGCUGGAAUGCCCAGUCUGCCCGCCCUCCCCCGUCACAGGUCGUGCCCUUUGCUCCCCAGGUAGUGGGGAUGGUUUCUCUCUGAGGAGCCAGCGGCCUCCUCUCCUGGCUCUGGUGCAGCGGGGCUGGGCUGGUGCUGCGAGGCUGGGAGCUCAGGCCAGGAAUCCAGAAGCAGGGCCUUCUUCCUCCAGGAUGUAUGAGAGGGCUGAGGGGAGCCCCCCACUGCUGGGAGGAACCUGAGGGCCCAGUGAGCCUGCUGAGCAGAAGCCUCCCCUCCCGAGUCCCAGGGCUGCUCGGGCAAGAGCACAGGCAGGCUGGAAAGUGAUCUCCCUGGCUCAGGGUUAGGCACGAGGGCGGCAAGGACCAGAGUGGAGAUGAGGAGAUUGCUCCCCAGACACCCAGACCCCCAGUCCUUGUGAUGGAAAGAAGAGAACUGUCUUCAAGGAAAGAACACCAGGGGCUCCCACAUCCCAGAGUCUGGGUGGGCUGGCAAGAUCCAGGAAGGUCUUGAGCCUUGGUGGACCUGAAGGCUGGGUCUCUGGCAGGAGAAUGGAAUCCCUGCUGGAUUCAGGCAAAACGGAAGGAUCUCACUGGG